AGUAACACGUGGGGAACCUGCCCCAUAGUCUGGGAUACCACUUGGAAACAGGUGCUAAUACCGGAUAAGAAAGCGGAUCGCAUGAUCAGCUUUUAAAAGGCGGCGUAAGCUGUCGCUAUGGGAUGGCCCCGCGGUGCAUUAGCUAGUUGGUAAGGUAAAGGCUUACCAAGGCGAUGAUGCAUAGCCGAGUUGAGAGACUGAUCGGCCACAUUGGGACUGAGACACGGCCCAAACUCCUACGGGAGGCAGCAGGU
rnacentral:rRNA from 1 species